rnacentral:rRNA from 1 species
UACGGGGGGGGCAAGCGUUGUUCGGAAUUACUGGGCGUAAAGGGCUCGUAGGUGGCCAACUAAGUCAGACGUGAAAUCCCUCGGCUUAACCGGGGAACUGCGUCUGAUACUGGACGGCUUGAGUUUGGGAGAGGGACGCGGAAUUCCAGGUGUAGCGGUGAAAUGCGUAGAUAUCGGGAGGAACACCAGUGGCGAAGGCGACUUCCUGGCCUGUUCUUGACGCUGAGGCGCGAAAGCUAGGGUAGCAAACGGG